AAGUGAAAUAAUAUAGCUCAACGUAUAUAAAGCUUUUAAAACUGUUAGGCUUGAGAGAUGAAAGGGAAAGUGGAAUUCCUAGUGUAGCGGUGAAAUGCGCAGAUAUUAGGAAGAAUACCGGUGGCGAAGGCGACUUUCUGGUCAUCAUCUGACGCUGAGGUACGAAAGCGUGGGUAGCAAACAGGAUUAGAUACCCUGGUAGUCCACGCUGUAAACGAUGAGUGUUAGGUUCUUGGAAUAAUCUGGGAGCCGCAGCUAACGCAUUAAACACUCCGCCUGGGGAGUACGCACGCAAGUGUGAAACUCAAAGGAAUUGACGGGGACCCGCACAAGCAGCGGAGCAUGUGGUUUAAUUCGACGCAACGCGAAGAACCUUACCAAGUCUUGACAUAAUACGGAGGGAGUUAGAGAUAAUUUCUUAUCACUUCGGUGAGCUGUAUUACAGGUGGUGCAUGGUUGUCGUCAGCUCGUGUCGUGAGAUGUUGGGUUAAGUCCCAUAACGAGCGCAACCCCUAUCGUUAGUUACCAUCAUUAAGUUGGGGACUCUAGCGAUACUGCCGGUGAUAAACCGGAGGAAGGUGGGGACGACGUCAAAUCAUCAUGCCCUUUAUGACUUGGGCUACACACGUGCUACAAUGGCAGAUACAGAGGGCAGCGAAAGAGCGAUCUGAAGCGAAACUCACAAAGUCUGUCCCAGUUCGGAUUGUACUCUGCAACUCGAGUACAUGAAGUUGGAGUUGCUAGUAAUCGCGAAUCAGAAUGUCGCGGUGAAUGCGUUCCCGGGUCUUGUACACACCGCCCGUCACACCAUGGGAGUUGGCAAUACCCGAAGCCUGUGAGCGAACCAAUUGGACGCAGCAGUCGA
rnacentral:rRNA from 1 species